CCACUAGACAAAUGAUACAAAAGGCAGAGCUUGACAGAUUCAAAUAAUUCCCUCACGUCACUACCCGUCUUCUUUACCUGAACUCUCACCAUUCUCUCUUGUAGCCAAUUGUUCUUGUUCUCACUAUUUUUCUAUUUGUUUUUUUUCCCCUAAUCCUUUAAUUAAUGCAGCACGACGCUCUCAUGGACUUUCUCCAAUCUCCAUUCUCCUAUGUUCUCUUCCUCAAGCUUCUCUCCAAUAUUCUCAAAUUCUCUUCUCUUGGAUCUGAAGACUCUGUUGUCAAAUCGAUUGGAUUUCAGGUGUUUGCUUCGACUUUCAUGGGUUGCGGAUGAACGGAAAUGUCUGAAUCUUCAUCGUGGUGAAUUGGAAUUUUCUGAUCAGAAGAUAUACCUUCCGACCAAACUAUUUUAAAUUAUGGAUUGCCCUUAUUCUCUGUGGGCAUUUUUUCCCUUGUGACGAUUGCUGUAGAUAUCUAAUUUCCAACGUAAAUGGCUUCAUCUUUGGAGGAACUUCUGGCAGAAGAAGGAUUCAAGGGAAGUAGAAGAAUCGCAAGGACCAGAUCUUCCCUCCAGUCUAAUCCUGUAACCAAGCCCCAUUACUCUAUCAUUGACCAAGAAAAGAGACUUUCUGUAUCAGAUGACAGAAUUAGAGCGGAGAGAACAAAAUCUUAUGCCUCACAAUGUCGGAUUGGAGAUAAUAGAGAUACUGCUCAGAGCUGGAGACCAAGGGAUAAUCUUGCUGAAAGAGAUAAAUUGGAUGAAGGAUUGAAGAAUGAAAAUGUUGAGAAAUCUUCCAGCAACACGAAGUUAAGUAAAAACCAUGACAGCAAACAUCAGCACGCAUACCUAGGAAAGAGAUAAUUGAAGUGGGUGAGCAAAAAGAUAAUAGAGUUAAAGAUAUAUAUUCCAAUGAAUUGUUGAUUGCAAAUAGAGGGAAAGAAAAAGAUUUCAUUGAUUUCAGGUAUAGGGAGAAGUGGCAUGGGACGCUGGUCAAGGAUGCAAAGUUGGAUAAGAGGCAUGGCAGCAGUUCUAGCACACUUAUGGUUGGACAGUUGAGUGGAAAUA